AAAAUGUGAUAAAAAUAAAAUAAAAUAAAAUAAAAUAAAUAAAUGAAAAAAGGUAAAAUAAAAAAAACCAUGGGUUGCCUCCCAAGCAACGCUUGUUUAACGUCAUUAGCUUGAUGAUCGAAAUUUAUACACCUGUAGUAGUAGGAAUUGGUGGAUCAAUCAGAGUGUGGCUUGAGUAGUCUGUUGGAAUGUCUCCUCCUUCGUAGAGCUUCAGUCUUUGUCCAUUUACAAUGAAU
rnacentral:lncRNA from 1 species